UCUCCGUUGGUGAACCAGCGGAGGGAUCAUUACAGAGUUUUCACAACUCCCAACCCUUGCGAACCGUACCCAUUCUGUUCUCGUUGCUUCCGGCGGGGGGGACCGGGGGGCCCGAAACGGCUUCCCCGCCCCGCCCGCCGGUGGCGGCGGGCCCUACGCACCCUUAUAUCUCAACCACCCGAAACCCUGUGCGAAAACAAACAAAAUAAUCACAACUUUCAACAACCGACCUCUUGGCUCUGGCACCGAUGUAAAACGCCAGUGAUCGGAACAUCACGG
rnacentral:misc_RNA from 1 species